rnacentral:misc_RNA from 1 species
UCAAACUUGGUCAUUUAGAGGAAGUAAAAGUCGUAACAAGGUUUCCGUAGGUGAACCUGCGGAAGGAUCAUUAUUGAAUUUAAUGAGGAGUUGGUUGUUGCUGGCCCAGGGAUUUUUUUAAAUUAAUUAUUCCGGGGCACUUGUGCACGCCUUCUCUUUCAUCCACACACACCUGUGCACUUGUGAGGCAGAUGCUAUUGGGGGUUCUUUAUUAAUUUAUUGGACUCCUUUUUGCUCUGUCUACUUAAUCCACACACACUCUAUUUAAUAUGAACUGAAUGUAAUUGAUGUAACACAUCUAAUACUAAGUUUCAACAACGGAUCUCUUGGCUCUCGCAUCGAUGAAGAACGCAGC